rnacentral:rRNA from 1 species
GAUGAACGCUGGCGGCGUGCCUAACACAUGCAAGUCGAGCGAGAUUAGUGCAAGUGGAGACUUCGGUCAAAGCGACCACUAUGAAAGCGGCGGACGGGUGAGUAACGCGUGAGCAAUCUGCCCCAUACAAAGGGAUACCCACUGGAAACGGUGAUUAAUACCUUAUAAGACCACAGAGUCGCAUGGCUCGGGGGUCAAAGCUUUAUCGGUAUGGGAUGAGCUCGCGUCUGAUUAGCUAGUUGGUGAGGUAAUGGCUCACCAAGGCGACGAUCAGUAGCCGACCUGAGAGGGUGAACGGCCACACUGGAACUGAGACACGGUCCAGACUCCUACGGGAGGCAGCAGUGGGGAAUAUUGCACAAUGGGCGCAAGCCUGAUGCAGCAACGCCGCGUGAAUGAUGAAGGCCUUCGGGUCGUAAAGUUCUGUCCAAAGGGAAGAAUACAGUGACGGUACCUUUGGAGGAAGCCCCGGCUAACUACGUGCCAGCCGCCGCCGUAA